rnacentral:lncRNA from 1 species
GGGGUAUAACAUAGUGAUGAAGGAUUGACGGUGAAUCAUCUAGUUUAGUUACUGCAGUCUUCAUCCAGACAACAGCCUUUGUGACUUGUGACUUCACUGAGACAGCAGUGAUAGUCCCUGUUGACAUCCAGGAUGAUGAUCGUCUGUCUCCUGCUCGUAUCAUACUUGCUUUUGAUGGCGGUAUCGUCAGCUGCUCCUGUUUCAUCUGCAACAUUUAACCUCACGGCCAUAAAACAGUCGGAGGAGCUGGAGGAGGGCCUGCUGACCCAACUGUUCAAUCUUGAGGGCGAGCUGGAGACACUGGAGGAAGAGGUUCUCACCAAGCUGGAGGCUAACGACGUCGGCGACACCCAGAGAACAGCAGGCAAGAUCAGAGAGGAGAAAAAGAACGACGACAACGAAAAACAGAGUCUGAGUGGCAGACACAACGUUCUUUGUCUUCGCUGUACCAUAGCCAGCGACGAGCCACUCGAUUGAAAAACAUCUUAAUGUGACAAGAUGAUCGAGUGAGACCAGUGACGUUGACAGCAAUGGCUACCGACGGAUGUUUCCAAAAAGGGAUCUUAGAGCAUGCAAGCUGACAAGAUCAGUAAAUUUUUGUUGAACAUUGCUAGUAUUGUGUGUUUGGAAAAGGAUAUUGUUGAAAAAAUGCAAAGUUUGCCUCAACAUUGUUAGAAGUCCUGACCUCACUUGCUGCGAGCAUUUCAACGAGACUUUUUUUGUCUUUUGCUGCAAGCUCAAUGUCACGUGACCAACAACAGUUGUUUUAUACGAGCUUAUGCACACACACACAUACGCACACAUAUACAAGUACUCACUAGCAUUUAACCCUGCAGUUAAGAACUUACACACACACACACACACACUGAAAAAGAAUAGGACAUGGGUGAACUCCGACAAAGAGAAUGUUUUUCUUUUCUUUAUUACUUGUCCUGACAAAAUACAUGAACGUGAUUAUGACAAGAGGACAGUGGGGCUAAUAACAUGACAGUGUCCUAACAUGUGUAACCAUGGUAAAUAAUGACACUAACCCUGUGCUUGAGAUUCGCUAGACUAAUCCAAUCCACUGUAGGUUAAGGUAAGACACUUUGAUUUGCAAAACAUUUUAAAAAAUAGUCAAGAAAUUGUUAUGAGGUUUUGCUCGGUUCCAAACCCAUAUUGUAAGUUAAAGAGGGGUGAAUGUUUUUGUUGCAAGAAGGCUCAACUAGUCAAAAAAUUUAUAUGUACAGUGACUUUUCAUCAUGAUUCACAUUUCUAUGAACAUCCUCUGGAAAAAAUUCCAUUUUAUGUGUGAUAAUUUUUUUUAUGAUAAAUUGUGUAUUUAUUUGAACAAUAGAUGUAUAUGGAUUUGUCUCAAGUUGAUUUCUUUUUUGAUGUUAGGUUUAAUUAAAACACAAUAGUCUUAAUUUUUUGAAUAUAAUUCAAUAAUUUAAAAAAGCAUUUAAAAUGAAAGUGAUUUAUGGCACUGUCGAGAAACUUAACAUUGUCUUAAGACGUGGAGAAGCACGAAAAUAACAAAUAUGAAAACAUUUUUUAAAUGAGGGAGGUAAGUCAUGCAAUGCUGAUUGUUUAUGCCGGACUAAUAAAUUCCUUUAAAACGCACAAAUAGAUUACUCAUUGUAUAAGCAAUAACAGAAAUUAUAACAUUGUUGAAACAGAAAUAAAAAUAAAGAAAAAAAUAUGAGAGAAAAGUAUACACAUAUAAGCGGUAGACAGACAUGAGACCAAAAUAAUUUAAAAUCAAGAACAAUAAAAAGGCUCCACUAUGCUUUUUUUUUUUUUUUUUUUUUAAAAAAAAAAAAAAAGAAGAUUCUAAGUGUUUUAAGUAGAAAACUCAUGCUGCCUGCUACCCGGUAGUGUAGUGGUUAAAUCCCUCGCUUGCCACCACUUCAAAGACCAUAAAUUCAUCUGUUGGCAGGUCUGGUCUUCAAAUGUUUUUGACGAGUAUCCCGGGUUCCAUCCCCUCCCCACUCUUAGUGCAAAAUCUCAAAGUGGAAACGCUUUUCGCGCCAGAGUAACCACCCUGUCUGCUGGACAUUGUAAGUACCGGGGAAAAAAUAAUUAAUUUGUUCUUAUGCAAUCAAAUACUCAAACUAUGUCACUCAUUGACACAUUUGCUUAAAGUCUUCAGCUGUACACUCUAAGUACAAACAGUUCAAUCAGUUCACUUUGUGACUUUUAUCUUAGAUAGGUGUUAUACUAGCUAUGUUAUACUAAAGCUGCAGGCUAUGAACAUGAGGUCUGUAGUCAUUCCCAACAUCAGUAGGUAUUGUCUAUAAGUCUAGUCGCACAAUGAAGGUCUCCUAAGUGUAGAUUCUGAAUUCGGAAAAAUAGAAGAUAAAAAUAUCAAAA